CCUACGGGAGGCAGCAGUAGGGAAUCUUUCACAAUGGGCGAAAGCCUGAUGGAGCAACGCCGCGUGCAGGAUGAAGGCCUUCGGGUUGUAAACUGCUUUUAUAAGCGAGAAAUAUGAUGGUAACUUAUGAAUAAGGAUCGGCUAACUACGUGCCAGCAGCCGCGGUCAUACGUAGGAUCCGAGCAUUAUCCGGAGUGACUGGGUGUAAAGAGUUGCGUAGGUGGCAUAAUAAGUAGCUAGUGAAAUCUGGUGGCUCAACCAUUCAGACUAUUAGCUAAACUGUUAAGCUCGAGACCGUUAGGGGUAACUGGAAUGUCUAGUGUAGGAGUGAAAUCCGUAGAUAUUAGAAGGAACACCAAUAGCGUAGGCAGGUUGCUGGGACUGUUCUGACACUAAGGCACGAAAGCGUAGGGAGCAAACGGGAUUAGAUACCCUUGUAGUC
rnacentral:rRNA from 1 species